GCCACUUCACAUUCAAACACCGGUUCUCAUACGAUCAUUGAAGAUAAGCAAUGUUGAGCCUAGUCAGUACCUAGAUGGGUCACUGCUUGGGAAUAUCAGGUGUUGUAAG